CCUACGGGAGGCAGCAGUGGGGAAUAUUGCACAAUGGGCGAAAGCCUGAUGCAGCAACGCCGCGUGAGCGAUGAAGGCCUUCGGGUCGUAAAGCUCUGUCCUCAAGGAAGAUAAUGACGGUACUUGAGGAGGAAGCCCCGGCAAACUACGUGCCAGCAGCCGCGGUAUUACGUAGGGGGCUCGCGUUAUCCGGAUUUUCUGGGCGUAAGGGGUGCGUAGGUGGUUUCUUAAGUCAGAGGUGAAAGGCUAGGGCUCAACCGUAGUAAGCAUUUGAAACUGGGGAACUUGAGUGCAGGAGAGGAGAGUGGAAUUCCUAGUGUAGCGGUGAAAUGCGUAGAUAUUAGGAGGAACACCAGUUGCGAAGGCGGCUCUCUGGACUGUAACUGACACUGAGGCACGAAAGCGUGGGGAGCAAACAGGAUUAGAUACCCUAGUAGUC
rnacentral:rRNA from 1 species